AUUGAACGCUGGCGGCAGGCCUAACACAUGCAAGUCGAGCGGAUGAAGGGAGCUUGCUCCUGGAUUCAGCGGCGGACGGGUGAGUAAUGCCUAGGAAUCUGCCUGGUAGUGGGGGAUAACGUCCGGAAACGGGCGCUAAUACCGCAUACGUCCUGAGGGAGAAAGUGGGGGAUCCUCGGACCUCACGCUAUCAGAUGAGCCUAGGUCGGAUUAGCUAGUUGGUGGGGUAAAGGCCUACCAAGGCGACGAUCCGUAACUGGUCUGAGAGGAUGAUCAGUCACACUGGAACUGAGACACGGUCCAGACUCCUACGGGAGGCAGCAGUGGGGAAUAUUGGACAAUGGGCGAAAGCCUGAUCCAGCAAUGCCGCGUGUGUGAAGAAGGUCUUCGGAUUGUAAAGCACUUUAAGUUGGGAGGAAGGGCAGUAAGUUAAUACCUGGAUGUCUUGACGUUACCAACAGAAUAAGCACCGGCUAACUUCGUG
rnacentral:rRNA from 1 species